UAAAAGGUCGGGAUAGCUCAGUUGGUAGAGCAGAGGACUGAAAAUCCUCGUGUCACA
rnacentral:tRNA from 1 species